rnacentral:lncRNA from 1 species
AUAGAAACAGAGGCGAAAAUGAGGGAGGCAAACCGUCGCUGCGAACAUGAGGCACCACUAAAAUUGGGGAAUUACACAGAAUAGAUACACAUAUACAGAGACCAAAAAAAAUUCAAUUGGCAGCUUCUUUUGGAGGAUGCAUUAAGGGAACUGAACUCUUCAUUAAACGACACAGUGGCGGCUAGAGAAAAGAAGAAAAGGAAAAUACACGCACGCGGACUAAAGAAAGGCAGACAGGGACAACACAAAAUUGUAGAAUUAAUUAUGUUUCAUCGAUUUUUUGUGAUAUCUUUUCACUUUUAUUUGUUUAAUUUCGACAUUAUGUUAGGUUAAAUUAUUUAGUGCUAGGAUUUUUAGUGAAUCUUGUA